rnacentral:tRNA from 1 species
GGGUGCUUAGCUCAGCUGGGAGAGCGUCGCCUUUACACGGCGAAGGUCGAAGGUUCGAUCCCUUCAGCACCCACCA